rnacentral:SRP_RNA from 1 species
GCUGGGAGUCGUGGCGUGCUCCUGUAAUCCAGCUACUUGGAAGCCGGGUGCAGUGGAUGUUUAUUCAUAAGCAGACCUGUUCCUUA